rnacentral:snRNA from 1 species
GUGUCUGGCUCGCUUGGGCAGCACAUAUACUAAAAUUGGAACGAUACAGAGAUUAGCAUGGCCCCUGUGCAAGGAUGACACACAAAUUCGUGUUCCAUAUUUAA